rnacentral:lncRNA from 1 species
UGGAAUUUAAAUAAACUGAUAAAAUAAAAACUUCAUUCAUGAUAUCAAUGAGGCAAGUCAUACACUUAUAUAGCUAGGGUUGUAUACCCUGCUAGACCUAAUACUAAUGGGCUCUAGGCCACUAGAAGGAAUUACAAUAAUAAUAAACUACUGUUGCCAAAAAGGCCCAACUAUUCAGAAGGUCCAUCAUUUGUUGUUGGUAACGAAAUCCUUAGUCCAAAAAGGUUUCCUGGUCUCCCUCUUGGGCCGGGUCGGGUUUACCAUGCUAACAAAUUACAUGUAUUAAAUCUCUAUACUAUUCUAGUACUUAUAUAUUUCUCUAGAACUUUCUUUUAACUUCACCACUUAAACCAAAAUGGGUAGCACUUGAUUAGUCCAAUUAUCCAACAAAUCACUCCAUGCAUCUCUUGAUCUUAUCCUUGUUUUUUAUUUACAGGAAGUGUCAUACCAGCUACUAUACCUAUAGAACAACACAAAAUAUAAUUUAAUAAAACCAAUUCAAGAGGGGUAAAAAGUAGAUAAUUAAAGGAAAUUAAUCAUAUUCAUUCAUGUACCUAUAUAAAUGAAUGUUAGGAAGUCCAUACAAGUUCCUACAUAAGAGAUUACGAACAACGCAGCCAUAACUCCCACAAACACAGGCCAAUCUUUCUUUAUGCUUACCACGAACAACCACCUUAUUGAUUUUUCAAUCCAUGCUCGAACUGUCUUUGCCAUUCUCGUAGCUGUUUCUUCUUUCAAUUCCAGCCUUAACAAGUUUGGCGGUUCCCUAAAUUUUAGGCAUAAAAAAUAUAGCGUGUCAAUAUCCGUGUCGCGUCUGAUGUAUGUGCUUCAUAGCAUAUAAGUAAGAUUCUAGCUACUAGAUAUAUAAUGGAAAAAUAGAGUAAUUUGCAUUAGAAGUAGAGGAAGGAGAAGGUGCUCACUUGCCGAAAAGUGUAAGCAUAUUGGAAUAGAGGAAUAUUGAAGUAACAACAAAUAUAGUGAGCCAUGAGAUGAGAGUGAGAAAGUUAAAUUGAUAAACUUCCAUCGACACCCAUGUUGUUGUUGCCGCAAUUAGAACAAUAGUACCAAGUUUCUUCCUCCUCCAUAGUACUAGAAUACUUGUACUUAGUUUCUUCCUCCUCCUUGGUACUAUGUCCUUUAACAUGUCAUUGCCAUGUCAUCGACACCAGUGUAUGCUUCUAUUUAAUUAAGUCAUACAUGAUGUUGCAUUAAGGAGUGGUGAGUCAUAUAAAUACAUAUGCAUUUGUUGGAGUUGUAUGUAGAUAUACACAAGUGGAGUUAGUUGCAUAAGCACAAAAGCAGGAGGGCUCCGGCCCUGAAACGCCUUGUCGUUCAAAGCGGUGGAACACUUUGUUGUUCAAAGCGGUGUUUAGCGGUGAGGACUUAUGUCUUGAAAAAGAAUGUUUUAACCAUUCAAUUAGCGGUGAGGGCUUCGACCCUGAAUAUGGUACCACAUGCAUUGUAGAGGAGUCUUAGUGGAGUUGUGGAGUAUUGCAUGAGUCGAUGUUGUUGGUUUUAAUUAUCAUUUGUUGUUGACGUUGAUAAUGAUGAUAUUUAUAUAUGUUGAUGAAUUAUUAUUAUGAUAGAGUGUUAGAUUCAAUUGAUGCAUUCAUUAUCUAUAUUUAUUGUUGUGAAUCUCACCCCUUCUGCUUGAAAAUGUUGCCCUUCCUAUGGGUAACUUGCAGGUGAUCCUGAGUAGUAGGUGGUGGCUCAAAGUGUCUAGGGCUCUGAUACGUGGGAUGAGAUUUUAAUGUUACCUUCAUUCCUAUGUAUCAAUUUUUUUUGAAUAUUGCUGAUGUAGCCCUAUGGUUGUUGAAUUUAUGUUGAUAAGACUUUUAUGCCAAGAUUUAAUUAUGGAGAUUUAAACAGUUGUUGUUGUUGUUUUGAUGCAAAUUUUCCGCUGCAAAAUUAAUGAUGAUUUUGAAGGAUGUUUAUUAAAUAGAUUUUAUAUUCUAUUUAAUAAAUUUUGAAAAUGUAGUGUGACAUGUCCGUUUGGGAAUUACUCUGAUGCAUGUUUAAUUAUUAUUAAAUUGAUUUUGGGUAACGGGGUGUUACAAAAGCUACCAUUUGUACGCGGUGUUCCGGGGUGAUGUUGUAGAAGGAGAAAAACUGGUCAGCCUGGAAAAGCCAAUCAAGGGCUUCAGAUCCAUCAAAACUAGCCAUCUCAACCUUUGGGUUACGGAAAUUUGCAAUGGGUGGGAGUUAUGUGUUUGUCCAAAAUAUGGUGGUGUUUGGUACGUGGGAUAGGGUGGUGUGGAGUAGGAAAAAUUGUAGUGUGGAGGAGUUGAAAUGGCGAAACUGAAAGGCGGUGGUGGAUAGAUCGAUGUGUUAACAAUCGGCUGAGUGAAAUAGCCAUAGGUUUGGGUUUGUGAAAGAGGUACGGUAAGGGGGGUAGUGUGAUGAAGUGAUAACGGUGUAGAGAAAAGAAUAAAAUUUGUUGAGGUAGAGAAUGGGGUUGUUGCAGAUCUAGUGAAGGGUGAUGAGUUUGUGUGGGUUAGAGGUAGUGUGGUGUUGGAUAUAGGAGUAAGGAUUGGUUCAAGCACAGGUUCUGUGAAAGUAAGUGUGGUGUUACCUGUUGUGUGGCUCGUAGGAGGAGGCAAGAUCUGGGAGGUAGAUGGUUCUCUCUGCUGGAGGGCGGCGACUAUGAAUGACCUGAGCUCGUCUUGGUUUGUGGCCAUCGUGCGGUUAAGACGUUCCUCGCGGUCCUGAAGUUGUUGGUCGAAAUGGAGGCGUUGGCUGUCAAUUUUGGAAUGAAGGGUUUGGAGUUCUUCAGUGAGGCGGUUGUUGGUGGCAGUGUUGGCGGCUUCGAAGUGUUGGUUGGCUGAGUGAAUGGCAUCUUCAAGGUCUUUGGAGGUGGUGGAUGUGGGUUUAGGAGGCAUGAAAUCAAGGAAUGAAAGCACCAAUGAUACUAAGCUCAAGGAUUAUUUGAUCGGACUAGGAGCUAUGCUAGAAGACUAAUGCUGGAAUUUAAAUAAACUGAUAAAAUAAAAACUUCAUUCAUGAUAUCAAUGAGACAAGUCAUACACUUAUAUAGCUAGGGUUGUAUACCCUACUAGACCUAAUACUAAUGGGCUCUAGGCCACUUGAAGGAAUUACAAUAAUAAUAAACUACUGUUGCCAAAAAGGCCCAACUAUUCAGAAGGUCCAUCAUUUAUUGUUGGUAACGAAAUCCUUAGUCCAAAAAGGCUUCCUGGUCUCCCUCUUGGACUGGGUCGGGUCUACCAUGCUAACAAAUUACAUAUAUUAAAUCUAUAUACUAUUCUACUACUUAUAUAUUUCUCUAGAACUUUCUUUUAACUUCACCACUUAAACCAAAAUGGGUAGCACUUGAUUAGUCCAAUUAUCCAACAAAUCAC